rnacentral:rRNA from 1 species
GAACGGGUGAGUAACACGUGGGUGAUCUGCCCUGCACUUUGGGAUAAGCCUGGGAAACUGGGUCUAAUACCGAAUAGGACCACGCGCUUCAUGGUGUGUGGUGGAGAGCUUUUGCGGCGUGGGAUGGGCCCGCGGCCUAUCAGCUUGUUGGUGGGGUAAUGGCCUACCAAGGCGACGACGGGUAGCCGGCCUGAGAGGGUGACCGGCCACACUGGGACUGAGAUACGGCCCAGACUCCUACGGGAGGCAGCAGUGGGGAAUAUUGCACAAUGGGCGCAAGCCUGAUGCAGCGACGCCGCGUGAGGGAUGACGGCCUUCGGGUUGUAAACCUCUUUCAAUAGGGACGAAGCGCAAGUGACGGUACCUAUAGAAGAAGCACCGGCCAACUACGUGCCAGCAGCCGCGGUAAUACGUAGGGUGCGAGCGUUGUCCGGAAUUACUGGGCGUAAAGAGCUCGUAGGUGGUUUGUCGCGUUGUUCGUGAAAACUCACAGCUUAACUGUGGGCGUGCGGGCGAUACGGGCAGACUAGAGUACUGCAGGGGAGACUGGAAUUCCUGGUGUAGCGGUGGAAUGCGCAGAUAUCAGGAGGAACGCCGGUGGCGAAGGCGGGUCUCUGGGCAGUAACUGACGCUGAGGAGCGAAAGCGUGGGGAGCGAACAGGAUUAGAUACCCUGGUAGUCCACGCCGUANACGGUGGGUACUAGGUGUGGGUUCCUUCCUUGGGAUCCGUGCCGUAGCUAACGCAUUAAGUACCCCGCCUGGGGAGUACGGCCGCAAGGCUAANACUCAAAGGAAUUGACGGGGGCCCGNNNANGCGGCGGAGCAUGUGGAUUAAUUCGNNNNNNNNCGAAGAACCUUACCUGGGUU